UACAGAGGUCUCAAGCGUUGUUCGGAUUCAUUGGGCGUAAAGGGUGCGUAGGCGGCGCGGUAAGUCGGGUGUGAAAUCUCGGAGCUUAACUCCGAAACUGCAUUCGAUACUGCCGUGCUUGAGGACUGGAGAGGAGACUGGAAUUUACGGUGUAGCGGUGAAAUGCGUAGAGAUCAUGAGGAAGACCAGUGGCGAAGGCGGGUCUCUGGACAGUUUCCUGACACUGAGACACGAAGGCCAGGGGAGCAAACGGGG
rnacentral:rRNA from 1 species